rnacentral:rRNA from 1 species
AGAACGAACGCUGGCGGCAGGCCUCAAACAUGCAAGUCUAGGGGGUGUAGCAAUACAUCACCGGCGGACGGGUGCGUAACGCGUGGGAAUAUACCUAUUGGUUCGGAACAACUGAGGGAAACUUCAGCUAAUACCGGAUGAGCCCGAAAGGGGAAAGAUUUCUCGCCAAUGGAUUAGCCCGCGUCCGAUUAGCUAGUUGGUGGGGUUAUGGCCUACCAAGGCGACGAUCGGUAGCUGUUCUGAGAGGAAGAUCAGCCACACUGGGACUGAGACACGGCCCAGACUCCUACGGGAGGCAGCAGUUGGGAAUCUUGGACAAUGGGGGAAACCCUGAUCCAGCCACGCCGCGUGAGUGAUGAAGGCCUUGGGUCGUAAAGCUCUGUGGGAGGGACGAACCGCCGGUUAUAAUACCAACCGGCAUGACGGUACCUCCUUAGCAAGCACCGGCUAACUUCGUGCCAGCAGCCGC